GGGAUGCACAAUCUACAAAACCCCACAGCCCCUGAGAAUUCUCUCGCCUGCCUUCGGCCCUUAGGCUCCGGGAGAUUGCAAAUAACCUGCUUUCUUUCUGUUCCCAGGUGGCGUCGGACCCCUGUCAGAGAGUAAAUCUCAAGUAAGGUACCUGCCAUCGGCAGAUUUGAGCUUUCUUCUUGGACACCUAAUACCCACAGUCCUCCAGGCUCCGGUAGACUGCAAAUGACCUGCUUUCUUUCUGUUCCCGGGCUGCGUUUGGACCCCUGUCGGAUAGUAAAUCCCAAGUAAGGUACCUGCCCUCGGCAGAUUUGAGCUUUCUUCUUGGACACCUAAUACCCACAGUCCCCCAGGCUCCGGUAGACUGCAAAUGACCUGCUUUCUUUCUGUUCCCGGGCUGCGUUUGGACCCCUGUCGGACAGUAAAUCCCAAGUAAGGUACCUGCCCUCGGCAGAUUUGAGCUUUCUUCUUGGACACCUAAUACCCACAGUCCUCCAGGCUGUAGAUGAAGGGGUUCAGCAUGGAGGUGAUCACCGUGUACAUCACUGAGGCCACUGCAGCCUUUCUCGGGGAAGAUGACACAUCUGAACUGAGGUACCCUCCAAAGCCUGUUCCGUAAAAUCAGCAAACAACUGACAGGAUAACUUCAGGAAGUGGGUAUUAAUUCUCACGGUAUAAGUGAAGACAUUAAGCACCAGAGUUUAAGUAGCUUGAUCCACUGAAAGAGAUUCAACUGUGUGGAACCUAUGCCGUGGAGAAUUGCUUUCUGCCAUUGUUAUCGUCCAGCAGUUGCCGAAUAGCUCUGACCUGAGCAAAGCAGUGAAACGCGGUGCUGUUGAGUGGGUUGCCACUGCACCUUUUUCAACUACUCUAGUCUUGUGGAGAAAAUACCCCUUCUAAAUUUUUUCUUCAUUGAAUACUCUCCCUCAGCUCCAGAGUACCAUAUAGAGUUUUCUUGUAUUUUAGAGUUACUGUUUUAUCAAAGUUUACCAGUCUUUUGUAUUACAUUUCUCCUGUCUAAAUCGACUGUGUGGUUUCUACUCAUUAUGGAUAUAGAUUGAUACAAACUCAAUAAAUAUUUUUGAAUGAAUAA
rnacentral:lncRNA from 1 species